UAGGGAAUCUUCGGCAAUGGACGAAAGUCUGACCGAGCAACGCCGCGUGAGUGAAGAAGGUUUUCGGAUCGUAAAACUCUGUUGUUAGAGAAGAACAAGGACGUUAGUAACUGAACGUCCCCUGACGGUAUCUAACCAGAAAGCCACGGCUAACUACGUGCCAGCAGCCGCGGUAAUACGUAGGUGGCAAGCGUUGUCCGGAUUUAUUGGGCGUAAAGCGAGCGCAGGCCGUUUCUUAAGUCUGAUGUGAAAGCCCCCGGCUCAACCGGGGAGGGUCAUUGGAAACUGGGAGACUUGAGUGCAGAAGAGGAGAGUGGAAUUCCAUGUGUAGCGGUGAAAUGCGUAGAUAUAUGGAGGAACACCAGUGGCGAAGGCGGCUCUCUGGUCUGUAACUGACGCUGAGGCUCGAAAGCGUGGGGAGCAAACAGG
rnacentral:rRNA from 1 species